GUGGAGGGCUAGUCGACCCUUCUCCAGAAAUCGGGAAGGAAAUGCACGAUGAACAGGAGAAAAUUAAGAGGCAGUACUCUGAUGGCAAAGAAGUGAACCUAUCUGAUUUCCCCUCUUUUCAAUUCACAGAGCCAUCUGUGGAUCCUAUAAACAUGGAUGGGAAGAAGUGAGACCAAUAAACAACUAGGACAAAUUUCCUGAACUUGUACUUGAUACAAGUUCGUCUAUAGCAUCAGUAGCAUCUAUACAACUUAAAUAAUUUAUACAUAGCGAGUUUAAUUUCUCUUUAUGAAUAGUCGUGUUUGUUAAUUGUUACAGUUACUUAAUUAAAAUGGAUAGUUUCAUUGUUA